rnacentral:ribozyme from 1 species
UUGCAAGUUCAUAGGCCAUAGCAGAAGCAUUCACAGUGUGGCCCUGUCAGAGUCCUUUGAAUCUGCAAAUUUUGCU